rnacentral:rRNA from 1 species
GACGAACGCUGGCGGCGCGCCUAACACAUGCAAGUCGAACGAGCGAGAGAGAGCUUGCUUUCUCGAGCGAGUGGCGAACGGGUGAGUAACGCAUGAGGAACCUGCCUCAAAGAGGGGGACAACAGUUGGAAACGACUGCUAAUACCGCAUAAGCCCACGGUGCCGCAUGGCACAGAGGGAAAAGGAGCAAUCCGCUUUGAGAUGGCCUCGCGUCCGAUUAGCUAGUUGGUGAGGUAAUGGCCCACCAAGGCGACGAUCGGUAGCCGGACUGAGAGGUUGAACGGCCACAUUGGGACUGAGACACGGCCCAGACUCCUACGGGAGGCAGCAGUGGGGAAUAUUGCACAAUGGGGGAAACCCUGAUGCAGCGACGCCGCGUGGAGGAAGAAGGUCUUCGGAUUGUAAACUCCUGUUGUUGGGGAAGAUAAUGACGGUACCCAACAAGGAAGUGACGGCUAACUACGUG